rnacentral:lncRNA from 1 species
UUCCCUUCUGUUGACUUAAAAGUUAGCACCAGGGGAAGUACGUGGCUCUGGAAUGGCAGUUGGAAAUGAAAGAAAAGUGGAAAAGAUGGGUGAGCAGGAAGCCAAGAGGGCAGAGUUGCAAGGGCAGAGUUGUGCUGUUAUCAAAGAAGAGAUGUGUUUGAGAAUGGAAUCUUUCUGAGAUGUGAAAUGAUUGCUAUGAAGUGUCCAGAUGGAAAAAAAUUCUGAUUUAGAUAACAUAUCACUUUACAUGCCUUUUCACUAUGUAAGCAAAUUUAAUCUGUUUUAAUGCCCAACAACAUAUACACAGAUUAAUUAGACAAAAGUUCAUUUGGAGUGAUUUCUUUAUCUUUUCGUAUCACAAACUCUAUGGGAGGUAAAUGAAAAUCAAUAAAUGAAGUAAAGAAAUGAAUGUACAAAAUUGAUAUAGGGAAGACUAUGAAGAGGCGUCUAUUGACCAUCAGUUCAUGGAGAGCAGGAAAAGAGGUGUUUUCAGUGCCAGAGAACCAACCUAUGUCUUGCCCACCCCUUACAGCGGUUCUGUCCCAACGUGUUCUACUUGUUGUCUCUUUGAAAUGAGAAAGAAGAGAAGGGGUUUACUUAGUCCAAUGGAAGGACUGACUUAAUGCCUGUUAAAAAUAGGCUGGUUUACAAAUUCCUGUUAGAAGUGGAAGGAUAUAGAGCCAGAAAAUGGGGAUUAAGAAUGAGAUUGAGGGAUGUGAACACUCCCAGACAUGGGAAGGGAAGCUUCCAGAUCCUAGAGCUUUAUUGCUUUCCUGGUAAAAGUGUCUUCAUUUCCAGCUCAGCAUCUACCACACAGUAAAAGGUCAUUAAUUAGGAGAAGAUUUAUCUCAAGGAAACGUAUGAUCUGUGGGUAGUGUGGUCAAAGAUGACUUCUGCAGAUAAAAACAUCAUCUUGUAUGCAAGAGAUACGACCCUCUUUUAUAUAGUUGAACUGCAAAGACUACCUUACUGUUCACUCCCAGAAUGGCAAAAAGAUAGAUGAAGAUGGAGAAAUGUGCACCUAACACUGCAUCUUUAUGAGCAAAGGAUUUUCUUUGGAAAAACUGUGAUUAUAUGAAAAUCAUAGGACAUUUUAUUUGUGACUACAGGGCGUGGUGAAAACCUCUGCUACCAUACUGGAUACAAGGUCUUUAACUUCUCAGCACCAGUUUUAUGGAGCCCCCACCGCUAAGCAAGUAUGCAAAAUGCAGUGCUGCUUCGCAUUGGGAAAUCCCCAAUCUGGUGCCAAGAGGUUCAUAAAUACAGUAAUGGACCCUCUUAUGUCAAAAGUGAGUACUGUUUAACAGCGUAAGUUGGAACAGCCUUCAGGAUGCUUUGCAGCUGCAGUUGUUCCACUGCAAGACAUCACAAACUUCAUGAUGAUGGUUGUCACACCAGGUCCUGGAAAGGCAACCUACUUCAGUCUGCAAAGUGAACUAAAAGGGAAUGGUUGUUCAUACAUGGCCCUGAUGCCACUGACAUAAGAAACGCAAUGACAAGAGCGAUGAAGUAGGAAUUUGGUGGCAGAUGGUCAGGUCUGCAGGAAGUGUCCACCCAGCUUUGUUUGGCCCAUAUUCUGAAACAACUAGAAUAAACACUUAGUGUCAUAAUUUAUAAGCAUAUCAGUACCAAUAAAUCAGAAUCAUGCAAACA